rfam:Plasmodium malariae genome assembly, contig: contig6719
UUGUGUAUGAUGAUAAACAUUCUCAAAUGUUCGCAGUAGAGAGCUUAAAGGAAUAAGCUCAAUGAAUUUCCUUUGUAGCCUUCUCUUAGAUGUCUGAGACAAGAA